UGCAGUCGAGCGGCAAGUUGAGUAGCAAUACUUGACCUAGAGCGGCGCACGGGUGCGUUACGCGUAUGCAACCUACCUUAUACUGGGGGAUAGCCCGUAGAAAUGCGGAUUAAUACCCCAUGGUAUUGAGUGAUGGCAUCGUCAUUCAAUUAAAGAUUUAUCGGUAUGAGAUGGGCAUGCGUAGGAUUAGCUAGUUGGUAAGGUAACGGCUUACCAAGGCUACGAUCCUUAGGGGUUCUGAGAGGAAGGUCCCCCACACUGGCACUGAGAUACGGGCCAGACUCCUACGGGAGGCAGCAGUAGGGAAUAUUGGGCAAUGGUCGGAAGACUGACCCAGCCAUGCCGCGUGCAGGAAGACGGCCCUCUGGGUUGUAAACUGCUUUUAUCAGGGAAGAAAAGGGCCAUGCGUGGCAAAUUGCCGGUACCUGAUGAAUAAGCACCGGCUAACUCCGUGCCAGCAGCCGCGGUAAUACGGAGGGUGCGAGCGUUGUCCGGAUUUAUUGGGUUUAAAGGGUGCGUAGGCGGCUGCUUAAGUCAGUGGUAAAAGGCACGGGCUCAACCCGAUGUAAGCCAUUGAUACUGGGCAGCUUGAGUUUUCUGAGAGUACAUGGAAUUGAUGGUGUAGCGGUGAA
rnacentral:rRNA from 1 species